rnacentral:rRNA from 1 species
CCUACGGGGGGCAGCAGUAGGGAAUCUUCCACAAUGGGCGAAAGCCUGAUGGAGCAACGCCGCGUGGGUGAAGAAGGUCUUCGGAUCGUAAAACCCUGUUGUUAGAGAAGAAAGUGCGUGAGAGUAACUGUUCACGUUUCGACGGUAUCUAACCAGAAAGCCACGGCUAACUACGUGCCAGCAGCCGCGGUAAUACGUAGGGGGCAAGCGUUAGCCGGAUUGAUUGGGCGUAAAGGGAACGCAGGCGGUCUUUUAAGUCUGAUGUGAAAGCCUUCGGCUUAACCGGAGUAGUGCAUUGGAAACUGGGAGACUUGAGUGUAGAAGAGGAGAGUGGAACUCCAUGUGUAGCGGUGAAAUGCGUAGAUAUAUGGAAGAACACCAGUGGCGAAAGCGGCUCUCUGGUCUGUAACUGACGCUGAGGUUCGAAAGCGUGGGUAGCAAACAGGAUUAGAUACCCCAGUAGUC